GACGAACGCUGGCGGCGUGCUUAACACAUGCAAGUCGAACGGUGAUGCUCCAGCUUGCUGGAGUGGAUCAGUGGCGAACGGGUGAGUAACACGUGAGCAACCUGCCCCAGACUCUGGAAUAAGCGCUGGAAACGGCGUCUAAUACUGGAUACGAAACUGGCCCGCAUGGGCAUGGUUUGGAAAGUUUUUCGGUUUGGGAUGGGCUCGCGGCCUAUCAGCUUGUUGGUGAGGUAAUGGCUCACCAAGGCGACGACGGGUAGCCGGCCUGAGAGGGCGACCGGCCCCACUGGGACUGAGACACGGCCCAACCCCCUACGGGAGGAAGCGGUGGGGAAUUUUGCACAGUGGGCGAAAGCCUGAUGCGGCGACGCCGCGUGGGGGAUGACGGCCUUCGGGUUGUAAACCUUUUUCAGCAGGGAAGAAGCGAAAGGGACGGUUCCUGCAGAAGAAGCACCGGCUAACUACGU
rnacentral:rRNA from 1 species